UGUGAGCUCGAUGAGUAGGGCGGGACACGUGGUAUCCUGUCUGAAUAUGGGGGGACCAUCCUCCAAGGCUAAAUACUCCUGACUGACCGAUAGUGAACCAGUACCGUGAGGGAAAGGCGAAAAGAACCCCGGCGAGGGGAGUGAAAAAGAACCUGAAACCGUGUACGUACAAGCAGUGGGAGCACGCUUAGGCGUGUGACUGCGUACCUUUUGUAUAAUGGGUCAGCGACUUAUAUUCUGUAGCAAGGUUAACCGAAUAGGGGAGCCGAAGGGAAACCGAGUCUUAACUGGGCGUUAAGUUGCAGGGUAUAGACCCGAAACCCGGUGAUCUAGCCAUGGGCAGGUUGAAGGUUGGGUAACACUAACUGGAGGACCGAACCGACUAAUGUUGAAAAAUUAGCGGAUGACUUGUGGCUGGGGGUGAAAGGCCAAUCAAACCGGGAGAUAGCUGGUUCUCCCCGAAAGCUAUUUAGGUAGCGCCUCGUGAAUUCAUCUCCGGGGGUAGAGCACUGUUUCGGCAAGGGGGUCAUCCCGACUUACCAACCCGAUGCAAACUGCGAAUACCGGAGAAUGUUAUCACGGGAGACACACGGCGGGUGCUAACGUCCGUCGUGAAGAGGGAAACAACCCAGACCGCCAGCUAAGGUCCCAAAGUCAUGGUUAAGUGGGAAACGAUGUGGGAAGGCCCAGACAGCCAGGAUGUUGGCUUAGAAGCAGCCAUCAUUUAAAGAAAGCGUAAUAGCUCACUGGUCGAGUCGGCCUGCGCGGAAGAUGUAACGGGGCUAAACCAUGCACCGAAGCUGCGGCAGCGACGCUUAUGCGUUGUUGGGUAGGGGAGCGUUCUGUAAGCCUGUGAAGGUGUGCUGUGAGGCAUGCUGGAGGUAUCAGAAGUGCGAAUGCUGACAUAAGUAACGAUAAAGCGGGUGAAAAGCCCGCUCGCCGGAAGACCAAGGGUUCCUGUCCAACGUUAAUCGGGGCAGGGUGAGUCGACCCCUAAGGCGAGGCCGAAAGGCGUAGUCGAUGGGAAACAGGUUAAUAUUCCUGUACUUGGUGUUACUGCGAAGGGGGGACGGAGAAGGCUAUGUUGGCCGGGCGACGGUUGUCCCGGUUUAAGCGUGUAGGCUGGUUUUCCAGGCAAAUCCGGAAAAUCAAGGCUGAGGCGUGAUGACGAGGCACUACGGUGCUGAAGCAACAAAUGCCCUGCUUCCAGGAAAAGCCUCUAAGCAUCAGGUAACAUCAAAUCGUACCCCAAACCGACACAGGUGGUCAGGUAGAGAAUACCAAGGCGCUUGAGAGAACUCGGGUGAAGGAACUAGGCAAAAUGGUGCCGUAACUUCGGGAGAAGGCACGCUGAUAUGUAGGUGAAGUCCCUUGCGGAUGGAGCUGAAAUCAGUCGAAGAUACCAGCUGGCUGCAACUGUUUAUUAAAAACACAGCACUGUGCAAACACGAAAGUGGACGUAUACGGUGUGACGCCUGCCCGGUGCCGGAAGGUUAAUUGAUGGGGUCAGCGCAAGCGAAGCUCUUGAUCGAAGCCCCGGUAAACGGCGGCCGUAACUAUAACGGUCCUAAGGUAGCGAAAUUCCUUGUCGGGUAAGUUCCGACCUGCACGAAUGGCGUAAUGAUGGCCAGGCUGUCUCCACCCGAGACUCAGUGAAAUUGAACUCGCUGUGAAGAUGCAGUGUACCCGCGGCAAGACGGAAAGACCCCGUGAACCUUUACUAUAGCUUGACACUGAACAUUGAGCCUUGAUGUGUAGGAUAGGUGGGAGGCUUGGAAGUGUGGACGCCAGUCUGCAUGGAGCCGACCUUGAAAUACCACCCUUUAAUGUUUGAUGUUCUAACGUUGACCCGUAAUCCGGGUUGCGGACAGUGUCUGGUGGGUAGUUUGACUGGGGCGGUCUCCUCCUAAAGAGUAACGGAGGAGCACGAAGGUUGGCUAAUCCUGGUCGGACAUCAGGAGGUUAGUGCAAUGGCAUAAGCCAGCUUGACUGCGAGCGUGACGGCGCGAGCAGGUGCGAAAGCAGGUCAUAGUGAUCCGGUGGUUCUGAAUGGAAGGGCCAUCGCUCAACGGAUAAAAGGUACUCCGGGGAUAACAGGCUGAUACCGCCCAAGAGUUCAUAUCGACGGCGGUGUUUGGCACCUCGAUGUCGGCUCAUCACAUCCUGGGGCUGAAGUAGGUCCCAAGGGUAUGGCUGUUCGCCAUUUAAAGUGGUACGCGAGCUGGGUUUAGAACGUCGUGAGACAGUUCGGUCCCUAUCUGCCGUGGGCGCUGGAGAACUGAGGGGGGCUGCUCCUAGUACGAGAGGACCGGAGUGGACGCAUCACUGGUGUUCGGGUUGUCAUGCCAAUGGCACUGCCCGGUAGCUAAAUGCGGAAGAGAUAAGUGCUGAAAGCAUCUAAGCACGAAACUUGCCCCGAGAUGAGUUCUCCCUGAC
rnacentral:rRNA from 1 species